CCUUGUGUAAUGAAAAACUGGGAUAUAUAAUCUCUCCCUAUAUAUUCCGCAUGCAUUGAGUAGCCUCAGCCUCCCCAGGGAUCUGAUACAGACGUGGAACCUGUUUCACACAACUGCUGCCUGACGGAAGAAAAGAAGCAAAUGAUACCAAGACAAGCGCAUAACAGAGAUCUAAUCACUAGAUGUGUAUGGAUGAAAAUACAGUGAGAUGAGUCAGAAAACGACUAAGGAGGGUCCUAGACUCUCCAAGAACCAAAAGUUUUCCGAGCACUUCAGCAUACAUUGCUGCCCGCCAUUCACCUUCCUCAACUCCAAGCGGGAGAUCGUGGACCGGAAAUACAGCAUCUGCAAGAGUGGCUGCUUCUACCAGAAGAAGGAGGAGGACUGGAUCUGCUGUGCCUGCCAGAAGACCAGAUUGAAAAGGAGGAUCAAGCCAACCCCAAGGAAGAAGUAACCGAAGAGGAGUUUCAGGUGGAUGGAUGGCCUCGACCCCAGGACUCACUGCUUCCUGACCCACGUGCCCUGGGGUGAGCCAUCCGGUUUCGAAUACGAUGCAGAGGCAGACGCCUGCUGAUGCCCAAGGUCUCCCCGGCACGGGGGCCGCCGGGCAGCCUGGCUGGAGCAUUUUGAAGAUGUCAUCUUAUUGUCUUCUGACCUCUGUAAUUGCCAAUGAGAAAUCUGCUGUCAUUUUACUUGUCUUCCAUUGACUCAAGUUUCUUCAGUAUGAAGAUAUAUAUCUUCAGGGAUGUGCAAAAGAUAUUGUACAACCAUAAUAUUGGCAAAAACUAAAAAUUAUCAAGUGUUGGCAAAGAUGUAGGGAAAAUUCUCAUAAAAUACUAGUGAGAAUAUAUAAACUAUUACAACACCUUUGGGUUGAAGUCUGGGGAUACUAGCAAAGCAGCAGAUUGUAUAAAUUAUGAUCAAGCAAUUAUGAUUUUAGGUACCCAUCCUAUAGAAAACUUGCAUCCAUAGAAAAAGGAGAAACAUAUAAAUCUGUUCAGUGAUGCAUGGUUUGCCAUUGGAAAAGAAAGAGACACAGAAAGAAAUUAAUCACAAUAUCCACCGAUAAGAGAAGGAACGAAUCAAUAAUAGUAUAUUCAUAAAUAAAAUCUUAAACAGCAGUUCAAACAAGUGAAUCAUAUAUGCCCAUACCAGGUAAAUAAAUUUGGAAAGCAAAAUAAAAAAUCAAAUGGUAGAUGGUAAGUGCAAUAUGAUGGCUUAUACAAAAGUUUGAACAACCUGCAAUACUAUAAUUGCCAACUAAACAGAAACCAUAAGAUCUUGCACUUUCUCUAUGAUGCAACAGAAUUUUUAAAAAUGAUAACAAAAUAAAAGGUUCUCCAAGAAAUACCUCUUCUCUUGGAAAUCAAAAAAGAAGAUUUGAAAUAAUUCCCGGUUUGAAGAAAUAGUAGAAAUUAAGAGCUAUAUAGAAAUGGUCAGCAACAUUAGCCCAACACAAAUGUUUUUGGAAAGAUAAGUGGGUGACUAAUAAGCUUGGGGUCUCUCCAAAGUUGCAAGUCUUAGAAAACAAACACAUCUGUUCUGAGUCACUUUUGGAUCUGGAUUGUAUUGUGACUCCUGUAGGUUUCUGACAUGGGGAAAAAUGGGACUAAUUAGAACACUCCCCUCUCCCAACCUUUCUUUAGAAAUAGGUAGAAAAACACAGUAGAAGAUAAUAGAAUGUUGUCGAAUGUUGAGGGAUGUUAGGUGGAGGGAAACUCAAAGUGAAGGAGAAUUCAGGGCAGGCCUGUGCUGGGAGCCUGGGUGGAAGCUCAGGCACAUGCCUGAAGCUCUACGAAAGCGUGGCUCUGUGUCCUUGAGUGAGCACAGCCCGACCCAGCCAAGUUUAAGGGGCAAGUGAGAAUAUAGGGCAAUGCCAGAGGAAGAAGUCUUGUUCAAGGUGUGGGGCUGGGGUGAGAAGAAAUGUCAGAGAGUAGGGAGGAAGUGUAUUAGACUCAGAUGAGAUAUUGCUCAGAAUUCCAACCCCCCGGAAAGAGGAAUCAGGCCAAGUACUGUCUCAAGGCAGCUGGGGGCAAGGCCCGAGUGUCCUGGCCUCCUCGUUUGGGGAGGCCGUCCCUGUCUGUGGAAGUGGCAAUAAAAAGGCAGGGGAAUUCAGAUGCACAGAGCCUUCAGGGAGAAAUGUUUCUCCUGCCUCAAUUUAGGUGCUAAAUGAACAACAAAAUGAGAACCUCUACUAUGAACAAUUUCCAGCGAUGGGGUAUCUGAGGCCAUUACAUUCCUGGGAAUGACACCAGGGGUGCCAUGACAGACUAGUAGGAAGGAGAAAUUAGUGGGUCCGCCCCUCUGGGACCCCGUAAGGAAACCGAACAUUUCCUCAGUCCAGUUUAGAUUUUGGCAAAGCCAGGCCUCAUACUCAGAGCUUGCUGGGCUCUGUCCUCCAUAUCAUCCAGAGACACACAGUUAUGACAGGUGCAAAACUAGGGAGGAGAGAGCAUAGUAUGUAUUCAUUCAUGUAAAAAAUGGAUGUCAGCACAGAACUGUUAAUAACUAGAAAUUACUGAGUUUUCUGUGUUUGUCUGUUGUGGAAAUAAAACCCUCUGGAAACUGGUAAAUAACUAAAUGUAAUGUGCCUUGGAUAUUAUAACUAAAAUGUACUAUAAUCUAAUAGUGUUUUGGUUUUUUUUUGUCUUUUAAGGGUUGGUUCUGGGGAGCGUUAUUCAGUGAAUUUUGCAGAAAUUAUAUAAAGCUCCAAAAGCUAUUCUAUGUAAACUUCUUGAGUGGGAAUUCUCAACCAUGAUGUUUGGCAUGUUACUCUGAUAAUUCUGGAUGUCAACUGAUUUUAUGUUCUGACAUUUUGACUAGUUCCGGGGAAACUGAGGUAUGUGCCCAGAGUUGUUCUGUAAAUGCUUAACAAUUGGCUCUCUGGGUGCAAAGUCCCGGUUUCUAGUGUUGGCCAAUUUCCAUGGUGUAAAUACUUCCACUCUGGCUGACUGCAAGCUAUGAACAUGAUGAUAUCACCAAAUGCAGAACUGGAAAGAGAUGUGCACAGUUGACUCUUUUGAGUUGGUACAGGCCCCUGUAUGUACCCAUGAGCCUCUGUGAAAUUAGUUUUAUACUAUCUGUUCCAUCAAGAUACAAAGGUACCAGUAAAAUAAAAAAAUAUGAAGGGGAAAUAAAAUAAAUUCAAACUGGGGAGUUCAAGUGGAGAAAAUGGACAGAUUUUUUUUUGAAACUUUGAGAAGUGGUAUUUGUCUAUAAUCCACAUUUCAUUAUUCUGUUUUACUAAGCAAACAUACUACCUAUUGCACUGAGUGUACUGAGCUCUUAGUUUCUUUGGUGACCCCCUAUAAGAAUGCUGAGGCUUCUUUUCAGAUAUUGGUGCUAAGGCGAUGCAGACCAGAGACUCAAUGGGACUUGCAUACUGUGAAGCCAGUUUCAGGAUGGCUGACAUGAGGGUCAAGGGAAAAAAAAGAUAUGGUGCCUUCUGAACAAUGAACAAUUUCAUUGAAAUUGAUGAAAUUUACUGAUGUCGUUUGGUAUGAUAAUAUAGAGCUUUUCAAGUUAACAUUAAUUAAAACAAAAAGUAGUUCAGAAACUGGAAAAAAUGGAUUAAUAAACCCUUCUAUUAGAGUAAGUCGAGAAGAAGUUGUUAAAAUAGAGGCGAACUGGAAUAGCAAUAAGAACCCAUGGACGUUUUUUAAAGGGGGUUUUCUCUGUUCUGCCCCACCGUGAUUUAUACUAUUGGAGAUUUAUGUGCCACCUGCCAAAUUCCAGUCAAAAUGCAGAAAAACGUAUUUGUAGAAAGAGCAGCUGUGUCCUCUAAAACUAUUGUCCAGAGAAAGGAACAGGUCCCCUUGGAAGACAGUUGAUUUCCUCUUUCUGGGCAGGAAGGAAGCUCAGGACUGGUUUGUGAAUUCCAGAUGUUGAAAGGAAACGCGGUUGCAUUAGGGUAUCGGAGUCAUGAACCCACCAUGAUGGAAAAGGGAAGAUAAAACAGAAUGGCCUGGAAAACACACCUGGUUUCUGAAACUGUUUACUGAAAAGACUGCAGAUGGACAGACACAAGUUUUACGAGGCCUACACUUCAGUUUUCAGAAUCCACAGUUUGAAAAUGCAGGAUGCUGUUAUUUUCUAUAAGGCAAUGGAUCUGUAGCAGGGCGCUGUCAGAAGGGGUAUCACAGGGCAUUAUUGAUACCCCAAAGAUGCCUGUGAUGUGGUUGAUUGGCUAGAAAAGGAUGCAAGCAGAUUGGAGAGAAAUCAGGGUUUUUGGUGAUGCCGGGAUCACUCUUAGGAGUUUUUAUCUCCCCAGCCUAAACUGUAGUCUUUCCGAAGUGUUACCAGUAGCCAGCAGAGGGAGCUCUUGUUGCAGCUAAGAAACAAAAUUACUGUAUUUUUCAGGAAUGGAUCCUGUGAACUCCGAACUCCGAGUUUCCAGGUUUUAAUGGAGACAGAGAGAA